rnacentral:rRNA from 1 species
ACGAACGCUGGCGGCGUGCUUCACACCUGCCAGUCGCACGGAAAGGCCCUGCUUGCCGGGUGCUCGAGUGGCGAACGGGUGAGUAACACGUGGGUGAUCUGCCCCUUACUUUGGGAUAAGCCUGGGAAACUGGGUCUAAUACUGGAUAGGACCAUGCUGUAGGUGGUGUGGUGGAAAGAUUAGUUUCGGUAAGGGAUGAGCUCGCGGCCUAUCAGCUUGUUGGUGGGGUAAUGGCCUACCAAGGCGUCGACGGGUAGCCGGCCUGAGAGGGUGGACGGCCACAUUGGGACUGAGAUACGGCCCAGACUCCUACGGGAGGCAGCAGUGGGGAAUAUUGCACAAUGGGCGCAAGCCUGAUGCAGCGACGCCGCGUGGGGGAUGACGGCCUUCGGGUUGUAAACUCCUUUCAGCCAUGACGAAGCCCUUGUGGUGACGGUAGUGGUAGAAGAAGCACCGGCUAACUACGUG